rnacentral:rRNA from 1 species
GACGAACGCUGGCGGCGUGCUUAACACAUGCAAGUCGAACGGUAAGGCCCCUUCGGGGGUACACGAGUGGCGAACGGGUGAGUAACACGUGAGCAACCUGCCCUUGACUUUGGGAUACCAGCUGGAAACAGCUGCUAAUACCGGAUAUGACCUCUUCUCUCAUAGGUUGAGGUGGAAAGCUCCGGCGGUCAGGGAUGGGCUCGCGGCCUAUCUGCUUGUUGGUGAGGUAAUGGCUCACCAAGGCUUCGACGGGUAGCCGGCCUGAGAGGGCGACCGGCCACACGGGGACUGAGAUACGGCCCAGACUCCUACGGGAGGCAGCAGUGGGGAAUAUUGCACAAUGGGCGCAAGCCUGAUGCAGCAACGCCGCGUGCGGGAUGACGGCCUUCGGGUUGUAAACCGCUUUCAGUAGGGACGAAGCUAACGUGACGGUACCUACAGAAGAAGAACCGGCUAACUACGUG